rnacentral:lncRNA from 1 species
UUUAAAUUUGGACUAUUUCAGUUUUGUCACUAUGAUGGACCCUUUCAAUUGAUAGAUUAUAUAUUUUCAGACGUAACAAAGUAAAUACAACCGGACAACUUAAAUUAAACCAACAUUCUCUAUUAAACCUAAACCGAUCUCUUAAUCAGAAAUUAAACUAUAAUUAAACCGAAGGUUAUCUACUAUAUUAUAUACGAUCCCAAAUGCACUCACCUUUGCUUCUCUUCAGUUUCAUUCAAAAACUCUUACUGGACUUCAUGGUAGUAUAGACGAUCGUCUUUGCUUCUCUUCAGUUCAUAAACUGCAAAAUCUGAUUAUUUUAUAUUUUUGUCCAUCUUUCAUCAACGUUAACAUUCUAACAAAUAUUAUACUAUAGUUAUGUCAACAUGAACACAAAGGUGAAAUGAAUUUCUUUUAUGAUGCACUUAUAAGAACGUGUCAUUAUGAACACAAUAUUGUUUUUCGUUUAUCAUAGCACAACAUGCCAUUCAUACAUGUAUACUAUAUAAUAUUCAUUAAUAUAUAUUAAUAGGUUAGAUGUAUUUUGUAUAUUAAAUAAUAUUCAUUUCUAAUAAUUUUGUACAUACAAUUGUUAUCUUAAAAAUAAGAUUCUAACUAUAUUAAAAAUAGUUUUGAUCAAAUCUAAACUAAAUAGUCUUGCAAAUAAAAUAACCGCUAACAACUUAAUUCAGUUUGUUUAUAUAUAAUACAUUAAAAUUUAAUACAAAAUCUAAAUUUUAAAUUUAAGCAAAAUAAUAUAUCAAUUAUAUUCAACAUUAUUAUCUAAUCUAUUAAAUAUUAUAUUUUGUGCACUAACACUAUAUACAACGCGUAUUACAAUGUAUAAUAUGAAUCAUAUACAUUAUAAACUAAUACCAUAUACAAUACAUAUUACAACAUAUAAUAUAAAAGGAAAAAUGAUUGCUAGCUACAUGAAAUAUUUGUCACCACAUGGCUAACCAUACAAACUAAAUUAAUGUAUACCUAACCACACGAAAUAUAUGUUAUGCAUGACAACAUUCCUCAACUUUACGAUGUUAUGUAGUUAACCUCACGAGUUUAAUUUUAUUUUAUCCAAAAAUUAAUGUGGAUGUUAGAGAUUGUUUAAAAGAAUAAAAAAACAAAAUUAAUUAAAUAAUAUCUUAUAUAACUUUUAUAUUUAACAUAAAUAAAAAUAAUAUAAUUAUAUUGUUUUCAAAUACACUAAAAUAAAAAUGUUAAAACAUUACUUAUCAAAAUUUAUAAAACAUAUUGAUUUUUUAAAUUAGAUUUUGUUAAAAAUAUUUUGACGUUUUUAAAGCACGGGUCAAAAUCUAAUUUAGGUAAAUUACCGUCAGGUACGUCACAUUUUAAUUGAUAUAAGGAGAGAUUUAAUUGGUCUCUCACAUACACAUUAUUUUUUGGAUAUAAAAUUAAAUUCGUGAUGUUAACUACAUAACAACAUAAAGUUGAAGGAUGUUGUUAUGCAUAAUAUAUAUUUCGUGUAGCUAAGUAUACAAUUGUUUAGUUUGUAUGGUUAGCCAUGUGAUGGCCAAUACUUCAUGUAGUCAGCAGUCAUAUAUUAUAAAUUAAUGACAAACAUAUAAAUAUUAUAUACAUAUAUUAUAUACCAAAAAUAUAUAUAAUAUCAAUUUUGAUUAAAUAAUAUCCGCGCAUAGCGCGGGUCGGUAUCUAGUUUCACUUUAUAAUAGAGUAAUUCUAUUAUUUACUCUAUUAUAGAGUAACAUCAUUGGAGCAAAAUUUACUCUAUAAUAGAAUUAUUCUAUUUUAGUGUUAAUUAUAGAAAAAAAAUAAAGACUCAUUGAAAAUGCCCUUAGAACACUUUCAUGGCCAUGAGAGAUCUCUAAGGGGGGCUUAUUGUACUUGAGAUUUCAUAAAAUUUUGGGUUUUGUUCAAAUCAUCUCUUAUUGAAUAUGGUAUUUAUAAAAGUUCUAACAAAUCCAUGGUUAUUGGAUAUAGUAUUUGUACAAAUCCUAUCAAAACUCCUCUUAUUGUAAAAUAUGGAUUUCAUCAGUAAUUAUAUCAAAGAUUAUUUUGAAUUAUUAGGAAAAAAGAUUUACACUACAGAUUCAAUAGAAACAAAUACCAUCUAAAGAGAUGGAAUUUAAAAAAAUAAUCUUAUCUCUCGUAUCAGCAGCCGAGGAGCCUUUUGUUUAGUAGUUGCAUUAAUCUCCAAAGUCCAAACAAAAAUAAUUUGCAGAUUGUGGAUCUGGCAUUAGAAGGAUCACAAAGAAUCUGCUGAUAUGGUACUCCAACGAGGUGAAUAUGUUUCUUCGGUUUCUACAACUUUUAGGGCUUCUAAUUAAACCGAAGGUUAUCUACUAUAUUAUAUACGAUC